GCCAAUGAUGGAGCAAACAGCUCCUACUGCAAUAGUCAAGGUACACAAUGUUCCCUGAAGCCAGGUUACUUUACCCUUGACAAUGCUCAAAUAACAAACACAUGGAAGAAUCAAAGUUACAAGCAUGGCGAGCAAAGAUCCAAUAAAUGCCAUCACAAGACCAAAGAAAGGGACCGAGAGAGCAAUGCACAAGGUUGAGACCACCAAGGCUGUUCUAAUGAUGAUUGCAUAUAUGUGGGACUUUAGAUGGUUAGCCGGUAUCAACUCCUCCAAACUCAAUGCCAAAGGCGUCAAGGUUAAUGCAUAUUUUGUUAUGGGGUUCACCACCGUUGUCCACACUGCAACCUUGGAAGCCACUAACUCCUGCGGCAUGUUUAAAGUGAACUGAGAAAGCGUAGAUUCCCCAAACAUAGUAUAUCCCAUUGCAGCAACCAAGCCAAACAAUGCUGUGCAUAUGGCAAAACAUGUGAAGAGGACUGAUGGGUAUUGAUUUGGCUGCUUCAGUGAGGUGUAUAUGUUCGGGAAAAUUCCAUGGCCUGAAUAGCAGUACCCGUAGAGACCGAUGGCAAUUGGAAUGCCAGGGAUAUUUAAUGAAGUUCCCUUGUUUUGGAAGCCAAUUUGAUCAACUAAUCCUGCCCAAGACAAGGCCACAACCACCAGAAUUGAUGCAACUACUCCUCCAACUGAGAUGAAACUAAGAAUGCUUAGAUCUCUUAGCCAAGUAGUGGGUAGAACAACAAGAGUAGUCACCACUGCAAAGAGUACAUGGGAGUUGAGAUGU
rnacentral:misc_RNA from 1 species